rnacentral:rRNA from 1 species
CCUACGGGGAGCAGCAGUGGGGAAUAUUGCACAAUGGGGGAAACCCUGAUGCAGCGACGCCGCGUGAGCGAUGAAGUAUUUCGGUAUGUAAAGCUCUAUCAGCAGGGAAGAAAAUGACGGUACCUGACUAAGAAGCCCCGGCUAACUACGUGCCAGCAGCCGCGGUAAUACGUAGGGUGCAAGCGUUAUCCGGAUUUACUGGGUGUAAAGGGAGCGUAGGCGGCUGUGCAAGCCAGAUGUGAAAGCCCGGGGCUCAAACCCGGGACUGCAUUUGGAACUGUGUGGCUGGAGUGUCGGAGAGGCAGGCGGAAUUCCUAGUGUAGCGGUGAAAUGCGUAGAUAUUAGGAGGAACACCAGUGGCGAAGGCGGCCUGCUGGACGAUGACUGACGUCGAGGCUCGAAAGCGUGGGGAGCAAACAGGAUUAGAUACCCGAGUAGUC